AACUCUUGUGGGCAAAGGUCCACCAUAACUCCCCCCUCCUAAUCAGGAGCUCUUCUUCCUCCUCCUCCCUUCCCCAGUCCAGCACAGCGCUGUACUGCCGCCCGGCCAGACAGAUCCCCCUUGGAACCAGCCGUGCCUCUUGGGCAACCCUUCGUCCCGUGGCCAUUCAGCAUGCCUAGCUACUCCAUCCUCCAUAUAUACACACACCCUCCUCUCCUCUUCUCCCUUCAUCUCGCUCAUACCCCAAAAGGGCCAGGAAAUAAAGCUGAGAGAGAAGUGAGAGGAGAUGUGAGAGAACAGGUAGGAUCAAGAAGCUGUGAGAGAGAUCAAGGAAAAGUUGGCUAGCUAGAGAGAGAGAGAGAUCAGGGAGCCUUUUCGUCUUUGAGGGGAAUGUUGUCUGGCUCGGGGGCGCCGCUCUUUCUCUGACCUGCCCCCUUUCUCCUCCAUCCUUCUCUUCCUCUCUCUUGGAGAUCAAGAGGAGAUGGGCAGGCAGGGGUGAGAGGAGAUGGGUGUAGAUCUCGGACCAGGCUUCAUUCCCCCCAAAAGGAAGGGCUCCCCAUGCUCUCUGCCUCCAUCAGAACUCCACAUCUGAAUCGAAACGUAGUAGCCAGAGAUGCUUGCAGAUCGUCCACUUCUUGGACACAUAAAGGGUGUAGCAUGAUCUAGUACUUGAAGCCUGAUUUCUUUGGAACCUUUUAGUAUUUGUAUAUGUCAGAACCGUGAAGAGUCAGGAGUGGGAUGUAGAAGUUAUAUUGUUCAGGCAUUGACACCGAUGCAUUGAUGUCUGUGUAACCUUGUUCCUAUUCAAUCAGCUAGCUCUGAGCUGCUUCCUGUUGGAAGCCUUGA